UACGGAGGGUGCAAGCGUUAAUCGGAAUUACUGGGCGUAAAGCGUGCGUAGGCGGUGACUUAAGUCUGUUGUGAAAUCCCCGGGCUCAACCUGGGAAUGGCAAUGGAUACUGGGUCGCUAGAGUGUGAUAGAGGAUGGUGGAAUUCCCGGUGUAGCGGUGAAAUGCGUAGAGAUCGGGAGGAACAUCAGUGGCGAAGGCGGCCAUCUGGACCAACACUGACGCUGAGGCACGAAAGCGUGGGGAGCAAACAGG
rnacentral:rRNA from 1 species